rnacentral:tRNA from 1 species
GGAGAAAUGGUAGAGUAGGUUUAAUACAUCUGAUUUGAAAUCAGACGAAUUUAUAAAAAUUCCGUGGGUUCAAAUCCCACUUUCUCCU